rnacentral:rRNA from 1 species
ACUGGGACCUAUACACGGCCCAGACUCCUACGGGAGGCAGCAGUGGGGAAUUUUCCGCAAUGGGCGCAAGCCUGACGGAGCCCUACCGCGUGAGGGAGGAAGGCCUUUGGGUUGUAAACCUCUUUUCUUAAGGAAGAAGAUCUGACGGUACUUAAGGAAUCAGCAUCGGCUAACUCCGUGCCAGCAGCCGCGGUAAUACGGAGGAUGCAAGCGUUAUCCGGAAUUAUUGGGCGUAAAGCGUCCGCAGGCGGCAUUAUAAGUCUGCUGUCAAAGACCGCAGCUCAACUGCGGAAAGGCAGUGGAAACUGUAAAGCUAGAGUACGGUAGGGGUAGAGGGAAUUCCCAGUGUAGCGGUGAAAUGCGUAGAUAUUGGGAAGAACACCAGUGGCGAAAGCGCUCUACUGGGCCGUAACUGACGCUCAGGGACGAAAGCUAGGGGAGCGAAAGGGAUUAGAUACCCCUGUAGUCCUAGCUGUAAACGAUGGAUACUAGGCGUAGCUUGUAUCGACCCGAGCUGUGCCGAAGCUAACGCGUUAAGUAUCCCGCCUGGGGAGUACGCACGCAAGUGUGAAACUCAAAGGAAUUGACGGGGGCCCGCACAAGCGGUGGAGUAUGUGGUUUAAUUCGAUGCAACGCGAAGAACCUUACCAGGGCUUGACAUGUCGCGAAUCUAGGGGAAACUUUAGAGUGCCUUCGGGAACGCGAACACAG